rnacentral:rRNA from 1 species
AUGGCGUCCCCUCGCCGCAUGUCCGCGGCGCCCGCCGCCCUCCUCAUCCUGCUCCUCCUCGUCGCCAUGGAGAUGGGGACGAUGAAGGUGGCAGAAGCACGGACAUGCCAGUCAAAGAGCCACAAAUUCAAGGGCGGCUGCUUCAGCGACAGCAACUGCACCAGCAUGUGCCACACCGAGAACUUCCCCCGCGGGCAAUGCCACCAGCAUUACGUCGAGCCCAAGUGCUACUGCGAGCGGGAUUGCUGA